UAUAAGGAACAUGGACUUCAGGAUGCUGGUUACUUUGUGUGGGGAAGGUGAGGGAAGAGGAUAUUGUCCAGGUCUCAGCCUUCUCAGAGGGUGUCACGAGCCAGAGCCUAUGAAAAAUUCUUCAAAAUUCGGUGCAGUUUUCCCCCCAAGACUUCAAGCUGAAGAUGCUCAGUGAGAGGACAUUCUUGAUUUCUUCAAGAUCACAGGUCUAAGAAAGGACAGUAUGCUUGUUGAGACGACACCAUUCAUUGAGCGACGAUGAAUUCAGACCCACAAGGCAAAGGCAGGACUGGAUGUUGUCAGGUGACCCACGUUUUCCGUCACGUAGUUUUGGUGCAAAAACACAAGGGAAUGCCGACCUGUGCCUGCUCUAUUUGAGGCGACUGAAGAAGAGUGAAAUCAGCCAAACAGCGCAACAUAAAGCCUGUGUGAGCUGCCCACAUGUCGCCUGACAUGAUAGAUCAUUUCCGUCUUCUUUUCAAAGGAACAAGGUAUUUCCAUAAAGUGAGUGUCUUUACCACCAUCUGGUAUCAGACCUCGUCAAGAUUGCCAUAAAGAGACUAUUUCUAACUCAAGAGCCGCUCUUGUCUACUACAGAGAUUACGUCAUCAUUCCACACUGUUACAUUACAUCAACAUUUGCCCAGCUAUUCGUGCGUUCGUCAUCAGGCCCGUAACUCAGGCCCACUACUCAGUCCUCUUACAAAGAGAAGCUCACGGAGUAAUAAGUAACACGCGUUUCUAAUCUUUUCUGAGCUGGACAGUUUAUUCCGGCGGGGCCACUCUUGGCCUGAGGAGAAGGCCUUCUAUCUGCUCCCUUCGGCCUUCUUCCGUCUUGGUGGGAGCAUUUCACACGGAGGGGCUGCGUAGUAUCUUUCAGUAUCUACCAGGACACCGCCUUGUAGGAGAUGGAAUUACCCUCUCUCAGGAGACGGCCUCGAGGGACCUUGUUAUUCGAAGGGCCAUGCCUUUCUCUGGUGAAGGGACAGUCAUCACACAGAAGCUAGACCUGGUGAGUUCUUCACAAUCCGGGAGCAUCUCUGAAAUUUGAAUCGCAAUCGCUCCUUGGAUGCAGGUGGGGGGACCAAGGGACAGAGAGGAGAUGGCGGGAAGCCACUGAAGGUCGUGUAUUUAAGUGGCAUACUUGGGUUUGCCGAAACAAAUUUCUAGACCCGGAUGGAACUGCCCCUGCGUGGGGUGUCUCUGUUGCUGGCGGCCGGGCUCCCCCGGAAAACACCCCACCAUGGCUGGUGCCCUCGCAGCCAAACAGAAAACCCACAGAGCUUUCAUGUCCCUGGAAAAGUUCUACCUGACCAGAAACUCAGUCGAUCCAGCCAGCUAAUGCACAAACGCCAACUCUGGGCUCAAUGCUCAUUUCCUGUUUCUUAUUCACUUUCUCUCUCUUCCUUCUUCCUUAUUCUUUAUCCUCUAAAAGUUUCCUGCCUUCUGCCUCGUUUUGCGGUUCUCUGGACUCUCGGGAAUGGAGGCUGCUCACGUCAGGAAGUGUUAAAUCAGCUUUCCUCAUAUCACCUGAAUUGUCUUCUUUAAUCAUUUUUUUUAACAGGUCGCACUGUCACCAAGUUCUCGGUCUGAAUCCUUCCGGUGAUUUCUCUCUGUUGUGAACCAAGCUGGAGUUUCAGCCUCGAGCUUGCAAAGACCCCGGAGUCCACACGCUGGGGCUGCUACCCCCUACGUAGCUGCGGGGUCUUGCACAACUCAACUCUAAAGCAAGUGUUACACAACCUGUCCUAAGGAGUCCAUCACAUAAACCGGCAAUGUGAAAUCCCCAGUCUGGAGAGAGAUGUGAUUGGGUUCACAUUCCUUCGCAUGCACUUCUGAGCCACCGCAAAGCUGUAUGUGGAGUCCCUUCAAGGUGCAAAAUGACGCCUUACGGCACCAUCGGCCCCUGUGUUGUGUAUGUAUAGUCUCCCUCCCACUGGCAAAAGCAAUCAGUAGCAAUAGUGUUCCCUCCUUCCUGUAAAGGAAUUCCGAGGUGAAUCGGGGCUUGCCCUGUAAGUUCCCUCAUAUUGUUUCUUUUCUUCCUCCUUCUCCCCACCUUUGAAAAAAUGAUGGGUAGUGACUCAUUCACUAGUAGCAGGAGGCUUGGCCCACUGCUUCGUCCCCUGACAGAUCUAGGAAACAACCACCGCCCAAGGGGGAUGGGUCACCAGUGGCCCCUUCCAAACCUGGCUGGGGAAACGCUCCCGGGCCCCGCUGUCUUCGUGGGAGCCGCCCGAGGACCAGGGGAAUGAACGGUCUCAUGAAGACGAAACCUGAAGCCAAACAAGCGAACUGGGCCGUGAACUGGGCUUUGCCCGCCCCGGAGUCCCGCCCCCCAGGGUCACGAGGGCAAGUCCUUUCCGAACACUCAUUUCAUCAGCGAAGCACGCCGUGUUCAUCGUUGGGCACAGAUGCCAAGGCAGCGUUCCAGUUACUAAUCGGCGUGAAACAGCCAUUUUCUGCCUUUUGCCGAUUGGGGGAGGGGAACCCAGACAGGCCCCGGCACGGCUGGCUCUUUGCUGGCCUUGGUUCCCCGGGGCCUCGGCUGGGCUGACUGAAGACACAGUAACUCAGCGGGCGGGGGGCUGAGCCAGGGGCGGCCGAUGGAUGCGCUCCAAGAUGGCUUGGUCACGGUCGUAUUGAAAUACAGGAGGAACAGCCCAACCUUCAGGCUGGAACAGAAAUGUCCCAGCCAGCCUGCAGACCCAUAAACAAGAGAAGUCGACGUUUGUAAGCUGUAAAGUUUAGGGAUUAUUUGUUACAGAGCAUGCUUGAAGGAAAAACUGAUUAAUGCAGACCUCAUGGGGAGAAAUAGACUGCACCGUAGCCAAUUUCGUUAUCUUUCUGAGUUUAUGAUUGUAACUGACGGUCUCCCAUGAGAGGUCACUUACACCAGCCAGCUCAGCACCCACCUUAGCCUUCCUUCUCCAAAGCUCUCCCAUCCCGUGGGUUGGCUGUGGAGCCCAGCCUACCCUGUAACCUGCUCACACAGCUUUUGAUAGAUGAGGCUGGGGGGUUUGCAAUGCAGGUCACACAACAGAUCCAGAGCUAAAUGCUCUCUCUCUCUCUCUC